ACAGGGAUUGCCCUAGUAACGGCGAGUGAAGCGGCAACAGCUCAAAUUUGAAAUCUGGCCUCGGCCCGAGUUGUAAUUUGCAGAGGAUGCUUUUGGUGCGGUGCCUUCCGAGUUCCCUGGAACGGGACGCCACAGAGGGUGAGAGCCCCGUAUGGUCGGACACCAAUCCUGUGUAAAGCUCCUUCGACGAGUCGAGUAGUUUGGGAAUGCUGCUCUAAAUGGGAGGUAAAUCUCUUCUAAAGCUAAAUACCGGCCAGAGACCGAUAGCGCACAAGUAGAGUGAUCGAAAGAUGAAAAGCACCUUGAAAAGGGGGUUAAACAGUACGUGAAAUUGUUGAAAGGGAAGCACUUGUGACCAGACUUGGGCCGGGCGGCUCAUCAGGGGUUCUCCCCUGUGCAUUCCGCCCGGUACAGGCCAGCAUCGGUUCUUACCGGGGGAUAAGAACGGCAGGAACGUGGCUCCCUCUCGGGGGAGUGUUAUAGCCUGCCGUACGAUACCCUGGCGGGGACCGAGGUUCGCGCUUCCGCAAGGAUGCUGGCGUAAUGGUUACUAGUGACCCGUCUUGAAACACGGACCAAGGAGUCGUCCAUUAGAGCGAGCGUUUGGGUGUAAAACCCGCACGCGUAAUGAAAGUGAAAUUAGGUGAGAGCUUCGGCGCAUCAUCGACCGAUCCUGAUGUUCUCGGAUGGAUUUGAGUAAGAGUUUUAACGGACGGACCCGAAAGACAGUGAACUAUGCUUGUAUAGGGUGAAGCCAGAGGAAACUCUGGUGGAGGCUCGCAGCGGUUCUGACGUGCAAAUCGAUCGUCAAAUAUGAGCAUGGGGGCGAAAGACUAAUCGAAC
rnacentral:rRNA from 1 species